rnacentral:rRNA from 1 species
GACGAACGCUGGCGGCGUGCCUAACACAUGCAAGUCGAACGAUAUUUGCCAAGUGACUUUUUCGGAAGAAGCGAGGCGAUGAAAGUGGCGAACGGGUGAGUAACGCGUGGGCAACCUGCCCCUGACUGGGGGAUAACACCGGGAAACCGGUGCUAAUACCGCAUAAUACGACCAUAAGGCAUCUUAAGGUCGGCAAAGGACGAAAGUCCGGUUUGGGAUGGGCCCGCGUCUGAUUAGUUAGUUGGCAGGGUAAUGGCCUACCAAGACGAUGAUCAGUAGCCGAACUGAGAGGUUGAUCGGCCACAUUGGGACUGAGACACGGCCCAAACUCCUACGGGAGGCAG